UGGGGAAUAUUGGACAAUGGGCGAAAGCCUGAUCCAGCCAUGCCGCGUGUGUGAAGAAGGUCUUCGGAUUGUAAAGCACUUUAAGUUGGGAGGAAGGGCAGUAAAUUAAUACUUUGCUGUUUUGACGUUACCGACAGAAUAAGCACCGGCUAACUCUGUGCCAGCAGCCGCGGUAAUACAGAGGGUGCAAGCGUUAAUCGGAAUUACUGGGCGUAAAGCGCGCGUAGGUGGUUCGUUAAGUUGGAUGUGAAAUCCCCGGGCUCAACCUGGGAACUGCAUUCAAAACUGACGAGCUAGAGUAUGGUAGAGGGUGGUGGAAUUUCCUGUGUAGCGGUGAAAUGCGUAGAUAUAGGAAGGAACACCAGUGGCGAAGGCGACCACCUGGACUGAUACUGACACUGAGGUGCGAAAAGCGUGGGGAGCAAAACAGGAUUAGAUACCCUGGUAGUCCACGCCGUAAAACGAUGUCAACUAGCCGUUGGGAGCCUUGAGCUCUUAGUGGCGCAGCUAACGCAUUAAGUUGACCGCCUGGGGAGUACGGCCGCAAGGUUAAAAC
rnacentral:rRNA from 1 species